GACGAACGCUGGCGGCGUGCCUAAUACAUGCAAGUAGAACGCACAGUUUAUACCGUAGCUUGCUACACCAUAGACUGUGAGUUGCGAACGGGUGAGUAACGCGUAGGUAACCUGCCUGGUAGCGGGGGAUAACUAUUGGAAACGAUAGCUAAUACCGCAUAAUAUUAAUUAUUGCAUGAUAAUUGAUUGAAAGAUGCAACUGCAUCACUACCAGAUGGACCUGCGUUGUAUUAGCUAGUAGGUGAGGUAACGGCUCACCUAGGCGACGAUACAUAGCCGACCUGAGAGGGUGAUCGGCCGCACUGGGACUGAGACACGGCCCAGACUCCUACGGGAGGCAGCAGUAGGGAAUCUUCGGCAAUGGACGAAAGUCUGACCGAGCAACGCCGCGUGAGUGAAGAAGGUUUUCGGAUCGUAAAGCUCUGUUGUAAGAGAAGAACGGGUGUGAGAGUGGAAAGUUCACACUGUGACGGUAUCUUACCAGAAAGGGACGGCUAACUACGUG
rnacentral:rRNA from 1 species